rnacentral:rRNA from 1 species
AUUGAACGCUGGCGGCAGGCUUAACACAUGCAAGUCGAACGAGUGGCGGACGGGUGAGUUAUGCUUGGGAAUCUUGCUUAUGGAGGGCGAUAACUGCGGGAAACUGUAGCUAAUACCGCGUACCAUAGGAUGAGCCCAAGUGGGAUUAGGUAGUUGGUGAGGUAAAGGCUCACCAAGCCGACGAUCUCGAGCUGGUCUGAGAGGAUGACCAGCCACCAUGGAACUGAGACACGGUCCAGACUCCUACGGGAGGCAGCAGUGGGGAAUAUUGCACAAUGGGCGCAAGCUGAUGCAGCCAUGCCGCGGGAAUGAAGAAGGCCUUCGGGUUGUAAAGUUCUUUCGGUAGCGAGGCGUUAACUACAGAAGAAGCACCGGCUAACUCCGUGCCAGCAGCCGCGGUAAUUC